UACGGGGGGGGCAAGCGUUGUUCGGAAUUACUGGGCGUAAAGGGCUCGUAGGCGGCCAACUAAGUCAUACGUGAAAUCCCUCAGCUUAACUGGGGAACUGCGUGUGAUACUGGAUGGCUUGGAUUUGGGAGAGGGAUGCGGAAUUCCGGGUGUAGCGGUGAAAUGCGCAGAUAUCCGGAGGAACACCGGUGGCGAAGGCGGCUUCCUGGACCGACACUGACGCUGAGGCGCGAAAGCUAGGGGAGCAAACGGG
rnacentral:rRNA from 1 species